UACGAAGGGGGCUAGCGUUGCUCGGAAUUACUGGGCGUAAAGCGCACGUAGGCGGCUUGUUAAGUCAGGGGUGAAAUCCUGGAGCUCAACUCCAGAACUGCCUUCGAUACUGGAGGACUCGAGUCCGGGAGAGGUGAGUGGAACUGCGAGUGUAGAGGUGAAAUUCGUAGAUAUUCGCAAGAACACCAGUGGCGAAGGCGGCUCACUGGCCCGGUACUGACGCUGAGGUGCGAAAGCGUGGGGAGCAAACAGG
rnacentral:rRNA from 1 species